UGUCCGCUCUUUCCGCCACCCACCAUUCAUACUAGUGAUGGGAAGUUCGGCUCUUUUGGCUCAGCUUCCAAAGAAGAUCCGGCUCUUUCGACUCCUGAAUGGGUCUUAAUUUAGGAUUUUUUGCAGAGCUUUGUUUUACCAUAAUUUUGCAAAUAUUAAUGGUUUGUGUGUUGAAAACCCUUUCAUGUGCAGUAUUUUUUAUGAGAAUCAUUAUAAUUGCUUAAAUUUUGUGCAUUUAUUUUGUUACAAAACCAGUCUUUUGUUUAAUAUUUUAAACAAAAAUUUUAUUGCACAAAUUAACAACAAAACCGCAAAUAAAUCCACAGAACUAGAACCAAACUCAAGCAAACAGUUUUAAUGUCCUCAGUGAAGAUUGGCAUUCAAAAAAAAUCAGAUGCCUCAGCUUUGAUGGACUGAUCAUAUUUAUUUUUUCUGUGAUUAUCUGCCCUGUUUUUUUAGAUUCUCUCUGAAGGAACAGAUGUUGCCACAAUACACACAGUCUCCCCUCCAUUAACGUUGUUACGACUCGUUAACUUGCAGUGGAAUGCCGCUUCACUACACCCCCCUCUCUGUUUUUACAUAAUGUUAUGAUCCCAAAUACUCACAUCUGAUUGGCCUCGAUGCGAUUGCUGACCAAUCAAAACAAAGUUCUGCCUUGAGGUAAGCAGCCAAAGGAAAAACAUUUUUGGAGCCGGCUCUCAAUCGAAGCGAACCGGCUCUUCUGAUUCACUACAAAGCAUCGGCUCUCAGAGCCGCAUCUUUUGCGCAUGACCCAUCACUAAUUCAUACUGUACAUCCUCAAAGUUUUAAGAUGCCACGAGGGUCAACAAUAACAACCUGUGUGGGCUGCAAAGCAGCUAUUGGUGUGGCCACCAAGACCUGCAAAUAUUGCCAGUCUGUACAGCCAAGAAAGCAAAGACUGGCAAAAAAAACUUAAGAAUUUUGAGGACAGAAAGGAGAAGUGGUUAAAAAACCAAACCAAAAACCAAACCACCUCUCAUGUUAUUGAUGAGGCAUCUGUCUUGGUCGAAAAGUUAAACACAUUGGGGUACAAGGCCAUAGUCUUCAUUGGAAAGAAAACAAAGAAACAGAAAACCUGGUCCGCACAAGUCCUCCAGCCAAAAUGGCAGCUGUCAGACCAUUCUGCAAAAUGCCUGGACAGGAUGAAGGCUCUUUAUGAACUGUUAAUUGAUGGUUGUACUAACCAGCAGCCCGCCACCGGUCCUCCUCCCAUCCAGUCCACCACCAGUCCUCCUCCUCCUCCCAUCCAGUCCACCACCAGUCCUCCUCCUCCUCCCAUCCAGUCCAUC